rnacentral:rRNA from 1 species
UACGGAGGGUGCGAGCGUUAUUCGGAAUCACUGGGCGUAAAGGGGGCGUAGGCGGCCCGGCAAGUCAAGUGUGAAAUCCGGCGGCUCAACCGCUGGGCUGCGCUUGAAACUGCCGGGCUUGAGUGCAGCAGAGGGAGACGGAAUUGCCGGUGUAGGGGUGAAAUCCGUAGAUAUCAGCAGGAACGCCGGUGGGGAAGCCGGUCUCCUGGGCCGUUCCUGACGCUGAGGCCCGAAAGCUAGGGGAGCAAACCGG